rnacentral:rRNA from 1 species
UUAGGAAUAUUGCACAAUGGGCGAAAGCCUGAUGCAGCGACGCCGCGUGAGUGAAGAAGGCCUUCGGGUUGUAAAGCUCUUUGAGCGGGGAAAACAAAAAUGAUUGUACCCGCAGAACAAGCACCGGCUAACUCCGUGCCAGCAGCCGCGGUAAUACGGAGGGUGCAAGCGUUACUCGGAAUUACUGGGCGUAAAGCGCGUGUAGGUGGUUUUGUAAGUCUGGUGUGAAAUCCCGGGGCUCAACCCCGGA